AGUGAACGCUGGCGGUAGGCCUAACACAUGCAAGUCGAACGGCAGCACAGUAAGAGCUUGCUCUUACGGGUGGCGAGUGGCGGACGGGUGAGGAAUACAUCGGAAUCUACUUUUUCGUGGGGGAUAACGUAGGGAAACUUACGCUAAUACCGCAUACGACCUACGGGUGAAAGCAGGGGAUCUUCGGACCUUGCGCGAUUGAAUGAGCCGAUGUCGGAUUAGCUAGUUGGCGGGGUAAAGGCCCACCAAGGCGACGAUCCGUAGCUGGUCUGAGAGGAUGAUCAGCGCCAUUGGGAAUGAGGCACGGUCCGGACAACUACGGGAGGCCGACGUGGGGAAGAUUAGACAAUGGCUGGAAUACUGAUCCUGUCAUACCGCGUAAGAAAAGAAGGCGUUCGACUUCUAGAGCCCUUUUGUUGAACAAAAAAAGCAGCAGGUUCAUACCCCGCUGUUGUGACGGUACCCAAAGAAUAAAAAACGGCUAACUUCGUG
rnacentral:rRNA from 1 species